rnacentral:rRNA from 1 species
GACGAACGCUGGCGGCGUGCUUAACACAUGCAAGUCGAGCGGAGCGGCGAACGGGUGAGUAACGCGUGAGUAACUGCCCCCCUCUCUGGGAUCACAGUUGGAAACGGCUGCUAAUACCGGAUAGUGGGGGAUGACUCGCGUCCUAUCAGCUUGUUGGUGGGGUAGUGGCCUACCAAGGCGACGACGGGUAGCCGGCCUGAGCGGUUGAUCGGCCGCAGUGGGCUGAGAGACGGCCGAGAGGCCUACGGGAGGCAGGAGUGGGGAAUAUUGGGCAAUGGGCGCAAGCCUGACCCAGCAACGCCGCGUGAAGGAAGACGGUCUUCGGAUUGUAAACUUCUUUAGACAGGGACGCGGUACCUGUAGAAUAAGCCACGGCUAACUACGUGCCAGCAGCCGCGGUAAUUC